GAAUAAACUGGAUGCUGACCAUGCUAAUCAGAGUGUAUUUAUGCAAAGGCAGCAGCUGUCAAGGGAAGACACUGUGAUCUGUAUUCCCCAACACUGGUUAUAGGGACUCUCCAGUCUUGUUAAGAUUUGCUAAAUAUCCAAUUCUUUUAUAAAGUGAAACUCAGUCUCAAAGGAGUAUGAAUAAGCCCACCUGUAAGCCAGCUCCACAGACUAUUUCCAGAGCAGCAAGCAAUACUGGUAAGCUUUCUUCUGUGAGCUGAGCUCCCAUGUGCUGCUUCCUCCUGCUGAACGAGGAUGUGAAAGGCUCAAUCAUACCCCUCUGCAGUUCACUCCAUGACUGUGGGCAGGCAUUGUUGCUGGA